rnacentral:rRNA from 1 species
GACGAACGCUGGCGGCGUGCCUAAUACAUGCAAGUAGAACGCUGAAGGAGGAGCUUGCUUCUCUGGAUGAGUUGCGAACGGGUGAGUAACGCGUAGGUAACCUGCCUGGUAGCGGGGGAUAACUAUUGGAAACGAUAGCUAAUACCGCAUAAUAGUAAAUGUUGCAUGACAUUUGCUUAAAAGGUGCAAUUGCAUCACUACCAGAUGGACCUGCGUUGUAUUAGCUAGUUGGUGGGGUAACGGCUCACCAAGGCGACGAUACAUAGCCGACCUGAGAGGGUGAUCGGCCACACUGGGACUGAGACACGGCCCAGACUCCUACGGGAGGCAGCAGUAGGGAAUCUUCGGCAAUAGACGGAAGUCUGACCGAGCAACGCCGCGUGAGUGAAGAAGGUUUUCGGAUCGUAAAGCUCUGUUGUAAGAGAAGAACGAGUGUGAGAGUGGAAAGUUCACACUGUGACGGUAUCUUACCAGAAAGGGACGGCUAACUACGUG